rnacentral:rRNA from 1 species
AACGAACGCUGGCGGCAUGCCUAACACAUGCAAGUCGAACGAGACCUUCGGGUCUAGUGGCGCACGGGUGCGUAACGCGUGGGAACCUGCCCUUAGGUUCGGAAUAACUCCCCGAAAGGGGUGCUAAUACCGGAUAAUGUCUUCGGACCAAAGAUUUAUCGCCUUUGGAUGGGCCCGCGUUGGAUUAGCUAGUUGGUAGGGUAAAAGCCUACCAAGGCGACGAUCCAUAGCUGGUCUGAGAGGAUGAUCAGCCACACUGGGACUGAGACACGGCCCAGACUCCUACGGGAGGGAGCAGUGGGGAAUAUUGGACAAGGAGCGAAAGCCUGAUCCAGCAAUGCCGCGUGAGUGAUGAAGGCCUUAGGGUUGUAAAGCUCUUUUACCCGGGAUGAUAAUGACAGUACCGGGAGAAUAAGCACCGGCUAACUCCGUG